UACGUAGGGUGCAAGCGUUAAUCGGAAUUACUGGGCGUAAAGCGUGCGCAGGCGGCUUUGCAAGACAGAUGUGAAAUCCCCGGGCUUAACCUGGGAACUGCAUUUGUGACUGCAUGGCUGGAGUGCGGCAGAGGGGGAUGGAAUUCCGCGUGUAGCAGUGAAAUGGCGUAGAUAUGCGGAGGAACACCGAUGGCGAAGGCAAUCCCCUGGGCCUGUACUGACGCUCAUGCACGAAAGCGUGGGGAGCAAACAGG
rnacentral:rRNA from 1 species